rnacentral:lncRNA from 1 species
AUCUUGGGCCUUGUUGGCGUGAGCUGAAAUGGACUGCUACUACAUUAUAGCCCUACUCAAGGUGGUCUCAAGAAUAGCGAUGAGGAGAAAUCUUCCCAGCGAUCAGAGCUGCGAGCAGUAUACUUUGUACAGAGGGAGAAGAGGCAUGAAGUAGGCCUGAAAGUUCCACUCAGUAAGUUGCUCUUCUGCCUUAAAUCUGGAGGCAACACAGCGUGGUGGGAAGAACACUGAACUUGGAGUCAUUCAUUCAUCGAAUGCCUGCCAGGGCCCCAGUCUCCUACUUACUGGGUAGACCUGGGCUCUUGGACUUUCACUUCCCUGUAAGACAGGGUGACAAUACUUGCUCUGCCUACAUCAUACCACACCGUUGUGAAGACGAAAUGAAACACUGCUUUCGAAGGUACCUGGAACCAGGAAGGCAGAGCUUCCUCUCCUCCUCUAUGGAAGUUUAAGGCAUGCUGACCACAGCAAGUCCAGGUCUCGAAGGGCUGUACCCCACUGACCCUCUCUCCCCAGGUGAGGUGGCCAGGACCGACCCCAAUCCCUCACCUCCCCUUAUAGCUCACUUGGCAGAGGCAUUGUGAGUUGUCCUAAGGAGGAAGGAUAACACAGUUCUAGAGCCUGAAGAUGUUGACAGAAUUCAUUUGCAAGUGGAAUUUCCUUUGAAUCUUGACCCCAGUGCUCUCCCACGCCCUGCAAACCCACCCCAAGGGGCCUGGACAGGGCUCUCUC